CAAUAGCGUAUAUUAAAGUUGUUGCAGUUAAAAAGCUCGUAGUUGAAUUUCUGUACAUUCCCGGUGCCGGCUCUUGUCGAACCGUGGAGUGUGCAUCCGCUUACAAACUUAGCCCGGUCUUCAUUGGUCGACUAAGGGAGUAGGCCCUUUACUUUGAAAAAAUUAGAGUGUUUCAAGCAGGCAAUGGCUCGAAUACAUAGCAUGGAAUAAUGGAAUAGGACUAGCGUCCAUUUGGUUGGUUACUGGACAUUAGUAAUGAUUAACAGGGACAGUUGGGGGCAUUAGUACUUAACAGUCAGUGGUGAAAUACUUGGAUUUGUUAAAGACUAACUUAUGCGAAAGCAUUUGCCAAGGAUGUUUUCAUUAA
rnacentral:rRNA from 1 species